rnacentral:rRNA from 1 species
UACGAAGGGUGCAAGCGUUACUCGGAAUUACUGGGCGUAAAGCGCACGUAGGCGGUCUUUUAAGUCGGGGGUGAAAUCCUGGAGCUCAACUCCAGAACUGCCUUCGAUACUGGAAGACUUGAGUCCGGGAGAGGUGAGUGGAACUGCGAGUGUAGAGGUGAAAUUCGUAGAUAUUCGCAAGAACACCAGUGGCGAAGGCGGCUCACUGGCCCGGUACUGACGCUGAGGUGCGAAAGCGUGGGGAGCAAACAGG